rnacentral:rRNA from 1 species
UACGUAGGGGGCAAGCGUUAUCCGGAAUUACUGGGUGUAAAGGGAGCGUAGACGGCUGUGCAAGUCUGGAGUGAAAGGCGGGGGCCCAACCCCCGGACUGCUCUGGAAACUGCCAUGCUAGAGUGCUGGAGAGGUAAGUGGAAUUCCUAGUGUAGCGGUGAAAUGCGUAGAUAUUAGGAGGAACACCAGUGGCGAAGGCGGCUGUCUGGUCUGCAACUGACGCUGAGGCUCGAAAGCAUGGGUAGCGAACAGG